CCUCUCUCUGGGACCGUUUCAAGUGGGACUUCCCACUAAGUAUUUCAGCAGGAAACGUAGUGAACGAGAGGCAAGUUCAUUCUUUAUCCUGACAACAUGUGUACUGGAAAAUGUUCCCGUUGCAUUGCUGUUACUCUGUACCCAUUAGCACUCAUAUCCAUCAUCUGUAACAUAGUGCUGUUCUUUCCUGGUGGGGAAAUCAAGUACGCCAAAGAUGGACAUAUUACUGAGGAGGUGAAAUACAUGGGAGGACUCAUUGGAGGGGGGUUGAUGGUGUUGCUGCCAGCACUUUAUAUCCACAUGACUGGAGAGAAGGGCUGCUGUGGGAAUCGCUGCGGGAUGUUCUUAUCAAUUGCAUUCGCUGCAGUGGGUGUGGCUGGUGCCUUGUACAGCUUAAUUGUGGCAGUGCUCGGUUUGCAUAACGGGCCCCUCUGCAAAAAUGUACUGAUCUGGACUACACCUUUUAAGAACAGUGACCCAAGUUACCUGACUGACAGUUCAGGAUGGUGGAAAUGCACAGAGCCUAGUAACAUUGUGCACUUUAACAUUGGGUUGUUUGGUACUCUGCUGGCCACAAGCUGCCUGCAGGUGGUUCUCUGUGGCAUUCAGAUGAUCAACGGCCUUUUUGGCUGCCUGUGUGGAACCUGCACCGAAAAAGGGCCACUGUAAGUUCCUGAUCAGGAAGCUUCUCAUCAUCUGCACUAAUCUGAGUUUUCUGGCGCCCCCUGCUGGAAGGCUAACAGUACUGCUGCAUCUGCAUUAAAUAUAUUCAAUGUUGGGGGUUUUUGCAACAGAUUUUUAUAUUUCUGUCUACUUUUUGAUGCUUCAUACUUAAUGAACAAACAGAAAUCCGAAAUGUUUUGAAAUGUAUUAAGUUGUGUUGUGAAGAUGACACAGUAUUAAUGGUAAUUCACAUUAUAAUUCAUGGUAUAAUUUAAUUAAACUUAUAUAUUGCUACAGUUUGGUGUUACAUUUCAUUAUGUCUAGCAUAACAAUGAUACAUGUUACCUUCUGACUUGUUGUGUUUCAAUAAAAUAGAUAAAGAAGUCAAAUAAAAUACAGGGCAAGAUCCUACUGACAAUGACA